rnacentral:misc_RNA from 1 species
AAGUCGUAACAAGGUAACCGUAGGUGAACCUGCGGUUGGAUCAUUAAUAAAAGAAGGGCUUUAGAGCCCCCUUUAACUCUAGUGUCUGCCUAAAAAACAGCGCUAGUCAACCCUUGUGUGAACCGUUUAUUGUCUCUGGUGGGAUUACUCUCGAGUGCCCACCAGUUAAUUUAUUAAACCCCUUUUUUAAACCAAGUCUUAUCAAAUAUAAAAAUUUGAAACAACUUUUGACAACGGAUCUCUUGGCUCUCGGAACGAUGAAGAACCAGC